rnacentral:lncRNA from 1 species
CUGACACGGGGUUUGCACUCUAUCUGGGACUAACCAGUGGAUGUCGGUGACACGCGGACACAGAUGUUUCCUCGGGACGAACGGCGCGUUACCGCUUGGAAAGCGGAGAAGACUAAAUUACCACUGGGAAUGGACCGAUAUGACUUAUAGGUAUCGCCUAGUUGGUUUCUACCCCUGAGAACCGCAAAACGGCCCCUGUCCAAGCUGGACAUCAAAC